rnacentral:rRNA from 1 species
CACCAAGCCUUCGAUGGAUAGGGGUUCUGAGAGGAAGGUCCCCCACAUUGGAACUGAGACACGGUCCAAACUCCUACGGGAGGCAGCAGUGAGGAAUAUUGGUCAAUGGGCGCUAGCCUGAACCAGCCAAGUAGCGUGAAGGAUGAAGGCUCUAUGGGUCGUAAACUUCUUUUAUAUAAGAAUAAAGUGCAGUAUGUAUACUGUUUUGUAUGUAUUAUAUGAAUAAGGAUCGGCUAACUCCGUGCCAGCAGCCGCGGUAAUACGGAGGAUCCGAGCGUUAUCCGGAUUUAUUGGGUUUAAAGGGAGCGUAGGUGGACUGGUAAGUCAGUUGUGAAAGUUUGCGGCUCAACCGUAAAAUUGCAGUUGAUACUGUCAGUCUUGAGUACAGUAGAGGUGGGCGGAAUUCGUGGUGUAGCGGUGAAAUGCUUAGAUAUCACGAAGAACUCCGAUUGCGAAGGCAGCUCACUGGACUGCAACUGACACUGAUGCUCGAAAGUGUGGGUAUCAAACAGGAUUAGAUACCCUGGUAGUCCACACAGUAAACGAUGAAUACUCGCUGUUUGCGAUAUACAGUAAGCGGCCAAGCGAAAGCAUUAAGUAUUCCACCUGGGGAGUACGCCGGCAACGGUGAAACUCAAAGGAAUUGACGGGGGCCCGCACAAGCGGAGGAACAUGUGGUUUAAUUCGAUGAUACGCGAGGAACCUUACCCGGGCUUAAAUUGCAGUGGAAUGAUGUGGAAACAUGUCAGUGAGCAAUCACCGCUGUGAAGGUGCUGCAUGGUUGUCGUCAGCUCGUGCCGUGAGGUGUCGGCUUAAGUGCCAUAACGAGCGCAACCCUUAUCUUUAGUUACUAACAGGUUAUGCUGAGGACUCUGGAGAGACUGCCGUCGUAAGAUGUGAGGAAGGUGGGGAUGACGUCAAAUCAGCACGGCCCUUACGUCCGGGGCUACACACGUGUUACAAUGGGGGGUACAGAAGGCAGCUAGCGGGUGACCGUAUGCUAAUCCCAAAAUCCUCUCUCAGUUCGGAUCGAAGUCUGCAACCCGACUUCGUGAAGCUGGAUUCGCUAGUAAUCGCGCAUCAGCCACGGCGCGGUGAAUACGUUCCCGGGCCUUGUACACACCGCCCGUCAAGCCAUGGGAGCCGGGGGUACCUGAAGUACGUAACCGCAAGGAUCGUCCUAGGGUAAAACUGGUGACUGGGGCUAAGUCGUAACAAGGUAGCCGUACCGGAAGGUGCGGCUGGAACACC